rnacentral:lncRNA from 1 species
CUCACAGCAACCCUGCAUGGAAUUAGAACACAAAGUGAAUUAUUGCCCAGGAUACCAAGGAAGAAUCCAAGACUCAGAAAAGCUGUCAUGGCACUACUAUUACUCUUGGUGCAGAGGCUGGGUGAAAUAUAAACAUGGCUCUUGCCACUCUUAUAACCAAAUCUUAUACUACAGACACACUGCCAUUAAACUGCUGGGAGCACAGCAGGCGAAGAAGCACAUCUCUGAAGAAUAA